rnacentral:rRNA from 1 species
AGGAAAGCAGGGGAUCGCAAGACCUUGCGCUUUUGGAGCGGCCGAUGUCUGAUUAGCUAGUUGGUGAGGUAAAGGCUUACCAAGGCUUCGAUCAGUAGCUGGUCUGAGAGGACGACCAGCCACACUGGGACUGAGACACGGCCCAGACUCCUACGGGAGGCAGCAGUGGGGAAUUUUGGACAAUGGGGGAAACCCUGAUCCAGCCAUGCCGCGUGAGUGAAGAAGGCCUUCGGGUUGUAAAGCUCUUUCAGCCGGAACGAAAAGGUUACGGUUAAUACCCGUGACUAAUGACGGUACCGGAAGAAGAAGCACCGGCUAACUACGUGCCAGCAGCCGCGGUAAUACGUAGGGUGCGAGCGUUAAUCGGAAUUACUGGGCGUAAAACGUGCGCAGGCGGUUUUGUAAGUCAGAUGUGAAAUCCCCGGGCUCAACCUGGGAACUGCGUUUGAAACUACAAGGCU